AGUGAGGAAUAUUGGUCAAUGGACGCAAGUCUGAACCAGCCAUGUCGCGUGAAGGAAGACGGUUCUAUGGAUUGUAAACUUCUUUUAUACGGGAAGAAUGUUCUCUACGUGUAGAGAUUCGACGGUACCGUAUGAAUAAGCAUCGGCUAACUCCGUGCCAGCAGCCGCGGUAAUACGGAGGAUGCAAGCGUUAUCCGGAUUCAUUGGGUUUAAAGGGUGCGUAGGCGGAAGUAUAAGUCUGGGGUGAAAGUUUGUGGCUCAACCAUAAAAUUGCCUUGGAUACUGUAUUUCUUGAGUACAUUUGAGGUAGGCGGAAUGUGUUGUGUAGCGGUGAAAUGCUUAGAUAUAACACAGAACACCGAUUGCGAAGGCAGCUUACUAAACUGUAACUGACGCUGAUGCACGAAAGCGUGGGGAUCGAA
rnacentral:rRNA from 1 species